AGGAUCCGUGGGGCUGGGGCUGCUGCUGUGGUGGCACCUUUGGUGGCACUUUUGGUGGCACUUUUGGUGACAAGGCUGCUGUCCUUCACUAGAGGAGGGUGGGAUGUGUUAAAUGUGGUUCAUCAACACCCCCCACCCCUGGCCUGGGAGGAAAGGAGCUGCUCUGCCCCUCUUCUUGCAGGGUGAGCCCCAAAAGCACCCCAAAAGCACCCCAAAAGCACUGAGUGCAGUGAGGGGGCCCUGAGCAGCCCUGACUUGUGGGGUUUGGCUCGAGGGACACAGAGACACUGAAGCCAAACUCCUCCCAAACAUCCCAAAUGUCCCCAAGGUCGAGUCCCAGAGUGAGGAGGCUCCAAGGUGGUUUUGUGAUCCUCUGGUGUGGGUUUUGAGGAGGUUCAGAUGGGAUCAGACCCACUCUGGUGUGGGUUUUGAGGUUUGGAUGGGAUCAAUCCCACUCUGGUGUGGGUUUUGAGGAGGUUCAGGUGGGAUCAAUCCCACUCUGGUGUCGGUUUUGAGAUCUAGAUGGGAUCAGACCCACUCUGGUGUGGGUUUUGAUUUCUGGAUGGGAUCAAUCCCACUCUGGUGUGGGUUUUGAGGUUUGGAUAGGAUCAAUCCCACUCUGGUGUGGGUUUUGAGGUUUGGAUAGGAUCAAUCCCACUCUGGUGUGGGUUUUGAGGUUUGGAUAGGAUCAAUCCCACUCUGGUGUGGGUUUUGAGGUUUGGAUAGGAUCAAUCCCACUCUGGUGUGGGUUUUGAGGUUUGGAUAGGAUCAAUCCCACUCUGGUGUGGGUUUUGAGGUUUGGAUAGGAUCAAUCCCACUCUGGUGUGGGUUUUGAGGUUUGGAUAGGAUCAAUCCCACUCUGGUGUGGGUUUUGAGGUUUGGAUAGGAUCAAUCCCACUCUGGUGUGGGUUUUGAGGUUUGGAUAGGAUCAAUCCCACUCUGGUGUGGGUUUUGAGGUUUGGAUAGGAUCAAUCCCACUCUGGUGUGGGUUUUGAGGUUUGGAUAGGAUCAAUCCCACUCUGGUGUGGGUUUUGAGGUUUGGAUAGGAUCAAUCCCACUCUGGUGUGGGUUUUGAGGUUUGGAUAGGAUCAAUCCCACUCUGGUGUGGGUUUUGAGGAGGUUUAGAUGGGAUCAAUCCCACUCUGUUGUGGGUUUUGAUUUCUGGAUGGGAUCAAUCCCACUCUGGUGUGGGUUUUGAGGUGGUUCAGAUGGGAUCAAUCCCACUCUGGUGUGGGUUUUGAGGUUUGGAUAGGAUCAAUCCCACUCUGGUGUGGGUUUUGAGGUUUGGAUAGGAUCAAUCCCACUCUGGUGUGGGUUUUGAGGUUUGGAUAGGAUCAAUCCCACUCUGGUGUGGGUUUUGAGGUCUGGAUGGGAUGAAGACUCUGAAAGCAAAGAUCUCCUCCUGUCCUUGCAGGAGUUUUCCAGCUCCCAGCUGCUGCUGGCUGCUCCUGUCCUGCUCCUGCUCUGCUGCUGAUGGGAUGUGUUGGGGUGGGAAUUUAUUACAGAGGAUUUAUUAGGAGGGGCUGGAGGAGGGAAAUGCCACCCCCAGGACUGUCCCAGCCCUGAACCUUCUCCAUUUCCCCUCCAUUCAUCAUUCUGUGCCGAGUGGGUUCGUGCAGGAAUGGG